GUCGAGCCGUAGCGUAGUGGUAGUGGUGCGUGUGCCUGAUGAGGAGGGCGUGGGUUCGAGUCCCCCCCCUCGGCA
rnacentral:tRNA from 1 species